UGGUGGAGCGGUUUGUCUGGUUAAUUCCGUUAACGAACGAGACCUCAGCCUGCUAACUAGCUAUGCGGAGCCAUCCCUCCGCAGCUAGCUUCUUAGAGGGACUAUCGCCGUUUAGGCGACGGAAGUUUGAGGCAAUAACA
rnacentral:rRNA from 1 species